GCUGCUUAAUUCAAUGUUCCGAGAAAAACUCAUGAUUGGAAAGUGACUCUCUUUUUUCUGUAUCCACCCCACCACCCUCAUCUCCCUGCUCUUCUACUGUCUGUGUUUUCCCCAUCAAAACAACAUCUGCCCUGAUGCACAGGAAGGAAUGGGACACAUCAUCACCGGUGGCAACAGGAUUGUGAUAUGGUCAGAGAGUGUGAGAGCAUGGAGUCAAUGACACAAGGGUUAAGAAUAGGCAGCCAAAACACAGGUCAGAUGUGUGUCUAAGGGGGGGGGGAGAGGGCAGAAUGGGAGGGUGAGGGAGAGAGGACAGAAGGGGAGGGUGAGGGAGAGAGGACAGAAGGGGAGGGUGAGGGAGAGAGGGCAGAAGGGGAGGGGGAGGGAGAGAGGGCAGAAGGGGAGGGUGAGGGAGAGAGGGCAGAAGGGGAGGGUGAGGGAGAGAGGGCAGAAGGGGAAGGGGAGGGAGAGAGGGCAGAAGGGGAGGGUGAGGGAGAGAGGGCAGAAGGGGAGGGUGAGGGAGAGAGGGUAGAAAGGGAGGGUGAGGGAGAGAGGACAGAAGGGGAGGGUGAGGGAGAGAGGGCAGAGGGGAGGGUGAGGGAGAGAGGGCAGAAGGGGAGGGUGAGGGGGCGGUAGAGUGACAUGACGGGUGAUUGAUCAAAGGGAUGGAUAAAGACGACUCAAAACGAAAGAUGAAGAGGAAAGACCCGAGGGAGGAAUUGGCAUCUUGCCCUCACUACCUGAGAGUCUUCCAACAAAUCAUGCAGUAGACCCAAGACCACUGCUGCUGGCACCACAGGCGAUGCAUGAUCACAUGAGCAAACAACCUGGCUUCUGUCUGUGGGUUCUACACGGGGUACACAUCAACACUCUUUGCAAUUAUUUUUUAUAAUAACAUAUAACUUAGGACUGAAUAACACCGAUGAUUAGGUGGUGGGGGGGGGGGUCCUUCCUCGUCCACCUCAUGCACUAUGCUCUGGGUUUCUUCAGCGAUGAAGCUCAAGUAGAUUUCUAACUCCACAUGUAGUACAACCAAAUAAGAGCAGAACAAGAACUUCAAGAGAAAACUGACCAAGCCAAUCGCUCCGGCGGACCAAGAUGAACCUGCAGUCACGGUGCCUGGGUGAAAACACUGGGGAAGGACUAAGCUAAAUAUCAUGUGGCUGUCCAUGGGACUGAUUUCUGUGUGUGCGCGUAGGGACAAAAAAAAACAUGUUGACUCACCCUACUUGUUGAGAAAUGCCAAUCCUCCUCUCUUUCAUUUUGCCGAAACAAUCAAUGACUGUCAUACAGUACACACUUUCAUUUGUUGUUGUCUUAGACUACCUGGCUAAAACGCUUGCUUGCUAGCCCAACUUCUUUUCAUGGCCAAUGCUAACUAAUGCUAACUAAGCUAACAUUAGCCUUCUACAUCUAG
ensembl:lncRNA